AUGUCGACAUUGAGUUAUUCAUCAACAAAAGAAGACAUCUUACGAGUGAAGACGUGUCUUAAAAUAGCAUUAAGAUGCGUAGAAAAAGACAGAAAUGAAAGACCCUCUAUAAAGGAUAUUGUCCAGGAACUGGAAGAACUAGAAUUGGAGAUUAAGAAAAUGUCACUACAUUCUCAUAAUUCAGAAGACCUAAUUGCCCAGAGAAGCUCUGGCUGUAGUACUGUUCUUUCCCUCGAUCAAUCCCAAGAGUUACGCUUCCUACUCGAGCCAAGGAUGAACGCUUCAACCUGCCUGCAGCUAGCUAACAUGAGAGAGGGCUUCAUUGCCUUUAAUAUAAAAACCAACAAACGAAAGUAUUAUGCACAGCCAAGCAUCGGAGUUAUGCCGACAUGUUCUAAGCGCUAUAUCUCUGUGACACUUCACGCACAGGAGGAGGGACCAAUGAAUACACAAUGCCAUGACAUGUUUGUUGUCCAGAGUGCUCGUGUUAAUGAGGAUCUCACAUCCGACGAGAUCACUACUGCCUUCUUUGAAGAAGGGAAGGUGGAUAUGAUGAAAAUGCCGAUUGUUUAUGUUGCAGCAGACCAAUUUCCAAGCACCAACAUCUAG
rnacentral:rRNA from 1 species